UUGACUGUGAUUCGUGGAAAUGCGAUUCUCGAUCUUGCUACAAAUCUGAGGAAGGCUUCCACGGCUUGUUCGUUGGGGGCCUUUUUCUUUUGCGGGUUAGUCUCCUUGUUUCGAACUCUGCUUUUGCAUGAACUGGUCGUGCAGGCUUUCGAUCUGACCUGCAAUGAAAUCGACAAAGCCUGA
rnacentral:misc_RNA from 1 species